rnacentral:rRNA from 1 species
UACGUAGGGUGCAAGCAUUGUCCGGAUUUAUUGGGCGUAAAGAGCUCGUAGGUGGUUUGUCGCGUUGUUCGUGAAAAACUCACAGCUUAACUGUGGGCGUGCGGGCGAUACGGGCAGACUGGAGUACUGCAGGGGAGACUGGAAUUCCUGGUGUAGCGGUGGAAUGCGCAGAUAUCAGGAGGAACACCGGUGGCGAAGGCGGGUCUCUGGGCAGUAACUGACGCUGAGGAGCGAAAGCGUGGGGAGCGAACGGG